UAUAAUGGUUAACUAGCCAAACAGUAAAUUCACACACUAUUUAGCACUGUUAAAUGAUUUCUAAGAGAGUGACAACUGUCCUCUGUAGUUUUGUUUUUUUCUUCGGUGACAUGCAGUGGAUAACCGUAGCAUUUGAUUGGCUGAUAACACCAUCACAUGGAUUGCCUUUCACUGAUCAGCCAAAUGUUUUUAUUUCAAAUUCUAAACAAAACUCAUGAGCGGGAAUUUUCCCGCAAAAUUUUUUGAAUGAGUUUUAAACUUUUAAUCUUCUUCAAAAAAAAUUUCGAAUACAUUAUUUCUCUCUCUCCCCCUUUCUUUUUCCUCAAUUUGUUUCUCUCUCAAUUCAAUCUCACAACCAUUCACGAUUAGAGAAAAUACAGAAGCAAAAAGGAAGACUGGCGUGAGUUGAAUAAGAGGGAAAAGGGAAAGGUCUGCAAGUUUGACGGUGUUGUAGUUGGUUGGUAUGCAUGUUGAGGUUGGUGAACGAAUCCUUCUGUGGAGAGGAGGCUGAGACCCUCCUGCAGCAGCGGCGGGUUUUGCCUUGGGAGUCGUGUUUAACCGAAGCACGACGCUGUGUUUGCUUUUGAUUUUACCUGCUUAGUGUUUCGGUGGAAUAGCUGCUGCAUUCAAACUUUGGUUCGGGUUGUGGAUCUUUUGGUAAUGUGAAGGCUGAUGAGGUUUUUGAAGACAUUGUUGCUGUUGUUCAUUGAGCUUUGAGAAGUUCUUCAUCACUCAAGGUCUCUAAAGAUGGUUUUGCACAUAUACCAACAAGUUGCAGCUUAAAGAGUUGUCGUAAUUGAUUCUGUAAUUCAUGGGUAAAAACAGAUUUUUCAUGUUUAGUGGACAGAGUGAUGGAAAAGAAUGACGUUUCUUUGGUUUCAUCCGGUGAUAAAUUAAGUUACUAUAUUGAGUGAUUAGAGGAGCUCGAGUCUUUUGCAGGUAGACAAGAUAGAAUCAUUUACAACGAAAAGCACAUUGACAAUUUUGGUAUUGUUCACCUAAAGGCAUAUAUGAAUGAGUUGUCAUAGAUGUCACCCCUAUUUUUUAGAGCAAGAAUUAGUUCAUAGAAUACAAAGUGUGUCAUACCUUUAAGGUAUAUAUUUCUUUUUAUUUUUUUUUUGAAGUGUUUUUUUUGUUGGUUCUGUGAAUAUGAUGUUUCAUGAACAUAAAUAAGUAAUCCUGAUUCAUAUCUCUGAUCUGAGUCUUAUUGCCCUGUAUAAUGGAGAGUCGCAAAGAAAAAUUACACAAUUUGGUUUUGCAGAGCAAGAUUAAUGAAACAAAGGAUGUUAUGAAGCGUAAAGCUUAUGAGAUUGAUAAUAAUAAUGUGGUAGGUGGAGGUUUUUCGUUUUCAUUUUGUUCUGUUAAGUAAAUAAAUAAAUUAUUUAUUUAAAUUUUGGAGGUGCAUGUCAUUUAACUAAAUACUCUCCAUGUACUCUAACUAAGUAUCCUUACUUCUUUUUUAUGUUCUAAAAUAAUUAACAUCAAUCACACUCAUGGAUCAUCAUUCUAAUAGAUAUAACAACUUGGAAUUUCACUGGUGAAAUCCUGAAAGAGCAGCAAGAAACUGCUGCAUAGAUAGUGUUUGUUGAUAGUCCAUAUAAUUUAGGAAACCAUCUUAAUUCAAUGAAUUUAGUUCAUCUAGGUUUGGUAGUAAACUAGCAAGUGAUUCACUCCUAACUUCCAGCAAACUAAUGAGAGGUGCACCAACAUAGCUUGAUAGCAAAAAUGAUUUUGAAAGUGGUUGUAAUAUGAUGUCAUAUAUUUCUUGGCUUCUGUUAUACAUGUAUUCACUUUUUAUUUGAAAAAGUUAGGUUUGCUCCAUGUCCAUAAUAGAUGUUAUUGUUACUUUUGAAUCAUGGACAGGGAGGAAACAACUUUUGUUAUCCAAACACAGACGGAUAAAAACAUAAAUUAGGACCUAAGAGGAGCCUUUUAACAUUAUUUUAAUUAUUACUCCGAUGCAUGUUGGCAUGUGUGGUUUAGAUUGGAAAAAUGGAGAUAUUGUUAUGGGGAAAAUGGUAAACCCAUAAGUCCAUAACCAUUUAUAAGUUUGUCAACUGAAGUUUAGUUCUUUGUUUUGAAAAAUAGUGUAUAGAGUUGUCAAAGAUGUCACCCUCCGCUCCAAUUUGUUUUUUGUUUUUUUGAUCCACAUGUUAAUGAAUUUGAAUUCUGAAACAAUUUAGAGCAUACAAAAUGCUAUCUUUUAUGAGCAGCAAGAGGAACAUUUACUGUGCAACUUGAACUAUUUGUAGUUGCCAAGUCAAAUAGAGAUAGAACUUCUUUGAUUAUUUGCUUUUGGUGUUACUUUUAGUGCUAAUGUUUCACAUGUAUUAAGGACUACAUUAGCUGUUUCCUUACUCAUUUACUCUCUAAAAUGUUGUGCAAUUAUAGUGGUUCAUUAUUUUUCAUUUUUGAUUGAGGAGUUGUUUUUGUGAUGUAGAUGGAGCAUGAAAAAUGUGAUUUUGAUGUCAAUGAUUAUGGUGAGGAGGAUGAGGAGGAACAAGAGGAAGAAAAUGGAGAGGAGAGAACACUUGAGGAAGACCAAAGUGGAUGAAAUAAUGAUGAGAUGGAAUAAUUUGAGAAAGUGUAUAAAGAUCUUUAUCACCAGGAGCUAUAGCAAUUAUUAACCUUUUAUUCUUAACAUUGAUUCAUGUAGUGUAGUUUUAAUAAUAUUUGAUUCCAUCAUAUUUUCAGUUGUUUUAAUAGGUACAUGUGUAAGGACAUUAAGAAGAGUAUUUAUAAUUUGUGAUCAAGACAUGGCUGGUAGCCUCAUUGAUGAACUAAAUGAAUACCAGAUUUUUGAUCGAGUCCUCCCUUCCUCCUUUUAUUCCUUGCUU